ensembl:lncRNA
GGCAUGAAAUUCCUGCGGUGAAACGUUACUCUCCACUCGGAGCAGAGCGCCGCGGCCUGAUCAGUGUCGACUUGUCCUUCGUUCGCAGAAAGCCGAGGCUACCGGAGAGAAGAGGCCCAGAGGACGACCCAGGAAGUGGCCACAGCAAGUGGUCCAGAAAAAGCCUGCUCAGGAAGAGGAGGAGGAGGAGGCGGAGUCUGCAGAGGAAGACUAAACAACCACAGGAUUUUACCUCUACCUCAAUCAGCUGUCAGGUCUUUGGAAGGGAAAAGACGGCCUUGACCACUUAUUGUUGACUUUCCACUCAUAUUUUCACUUUUUGGGUUUCUUUUUGCCGUGUUGGGGGUUUGUUUUCCUCGUUGUCGUUGUAUUUGUAGUUUCUGUCCGAGACGAACACACGCCACACCUCACC